rnacentral:tRNA from 1 species
GCUCUCAUAGUUCAAUGGAUAGAGCGCAGCCCUCCGAAGGCUGAAAUCCAGGUUCGAAUCCUGGUGAGAGCA